GCGGGGGUAACAUAAAAGAGUGAGUGUACUAAGGCUUCAACCCUUGGGUGUACCGGUUCGAACCCGGCCCCCCGCUCCA
rnacentral:tRNA from 1 species